rnacentral:misc_RNA from 1 species
AAGUCGUAACAAGGUUUCCGUAGGUGAACCUGCGGAAGGAUCAUUAUCGAUUCAACGAAGUGCCUGUGAGUUGUGCUGGCCUCUCUCGGGGCAUGUGCACGCUUCAUGGGUCUUCACACAUCCACACCUGUGAACCAAUUGUAGGUCUUUCGGGACCUAUGUCUUCUCAUAACACACUGUAUGUCUAGAAUGUCAUUACGAUUAUCGUCUGCUUCCUCUGUGGAGUUGGGCUGAUAAGAUAAACAAUAUACAACUUUCAGCAACGGAUCUCUUGGCUCUC